GGGGCCGCGGCGGCUACGAGGGCGGCGGCGGCGAGGGCGGCGGCGGGAGCUGUCGUUGCCACCGUGGAGCCAACAGGAACCCCGAAUUCGUUUCCAGAACUGAUAGGGGUCUAUUGCGUGUCCUGUCCAGUCCAACUGGACAGUGAGAAAUUGAGAAAGAGACAGAGAGACAGAGACAGAGAGACAUCUGCAGUAGUUGCUUCAUGGCUCAUGAAGCUUCCACCCUGCUGGUGAAAGGAGUGUGGAUUCAAACGAAGGCCCUUGUAUAUGAUAACAGAUGUGAACUGGUUGACUACAAGUCAUAGGGUAUGAGAAUAUGUCUGCUGUAUUGGAUAGGAGGAGAAAAAGAACCAGACAUCACUCUGGUACACGUGCUGCCGGGGAUUGAACUCAAGACCUCAUGGUUGAGAAUCCAAUGCUUUAUCUACUGCGCCACCUCCCGGACCACUUGUUUUUAUAAUCCAAAAGUGGGAAGAAGAUAUUUACAGAAUACUUAACAAAGAAGAAAUCCAAAGGACCAACAGACAUAAGAAAAAAUGUUCAGUCACUAUC